rnacentral:rRNA from 1 species
AACAAACGCUGGCGGCGUGCCUAAUACAUGCAAGUCGAACGGGGAAAGCUUUCGGGUGAGUUCUAGUGGCGCACGGGUGAGUAACGCGUGGAUAAUCUGCCUUAGAGUGGGGGAUAACUAGUCGAAGGAUUAGCUAAUACCGCAUAAGGCCACAAGAACUGCGGUUCAAGAGGUCAAAGGUUUUUCGCUCUAAGAUGAGUCCGCGUAAGAUUAGCUAGUUGGUGAGGUAACGGCUCACCAAGGCAACGAUCUUUAACUGGUCUGAGAGGAUGAUAAGUCACACUGGAACUGGGACACGGUCCAGACUCCUACGGGAGGCAGCAGUAGGGAAUAUUGCACAAUGGAGGAAACUCUGAUGCAGCGACGCCGCGUGAGUGAUGAAGGCCUUCGGGUCGUAAAGCUCUGUCGCAGGGGAAUAACACAAUGAAUGUACCCUGUAAGAAAGGAUCGGCUAACUUCGUGCCAGCCGCCGCCGUAACAC